AGUCACUGCCGGAGAGGUGAUGAUUUUUUUUUUUUUUUUUUUUCUGAACUGGGUUUAUGCGCGUCCCCCUCACCCCCUCCUCUCUUUUUUCUUUCUCUGUCUCUGUCGUCUCUCUCGCUGGCUUUUUAAAAAUGAGGAACCGUUCCUUGAACGUUCUGGACAGAGCACAGAAUUGCUUAAGUCAGCCCGACACGGUUGUAAUAGACAGCAAAAAGGUAAACGUUUGCCUGAAAUCCGCACGCCAGCUCCACUACCCCGCCCGAUGGGAUAACCGGUUUCUAAAACAUUGUGGAAUUCAAGGCUCCAUAAUGGAAUCAAGAAGUCAUGAACGGCUCCCUUGGAAGGAAGCUUGGAGGACACUGGUCCAACUUCCCACUGAAGCCAGAGGUCUGGAAAUGGGCAGAUGGUCAGGCAGACACCGAUUCAGCAUUUUCAAGAGUUGUAAAUUGAAGGCAGGUACCCCUGCAGCAAUUACCUACUAGAAGCGGAGGAAGAGGCGGUCUGUGAGCGCAGGGGCCACCGGUAAGACUGACACCUUGCUGUCAUCCACUAUUUUGGAAUCCGGUUUUCCCAUCUGACAAGUCCUUAUAUAUAUUUGCUCAUGUUGUUAAAACUAUUAUAAAACAUGAUUUUUAUGUUGGCAUCAUAUUUCCUUAUUUGAAGGUAUCAUAAUUCAUUUGACCUCUAGUUAGAUAUUCAUGUAACUUUUUGCCUUUUUAAAACGUUUGUGUGCAUCUCUGUUCCCUCUGGAAAUUACUGUGAGUGAAAUUCCUGGGUCAAAGUCUUUUUGGGGCUAAAAUUUGCAGAGUUGCCCUCCAAAGUAUUUAUGCCAGUUUAUAUUCCCACCUGCAGUGAGUGAGAAUACAGAAUUCACAAACCAUCAUUAAUUCUUUCCAAACUAAGAUAAGAAACUUAGAACCUACUGUGAUUCGUAUUUCCUUGAUUGUGAUUCUAGCUUCUUCAUGUUUCUUGGCUGUCUUGUGUGUAUGUUAUUUGUCUGUUAUUCUAAUUUCUAUUUAUUUAAAAUUGUAGAAGUUCUAUUCAAUUUUUCAAUUGUAUUAGUUCUUUGCAUAUAAAGUUGUAAAAGUUCUUUGCCUAUUAAAUUUGUUAACCCUUUCACUAUUGCCCAUUGCAAGCAUUUCUUCAUUUUGUCACUUAAGUUUUAAUUGUGAAUGGAUUUUUAAUGUAUAUGUUUAUGAAUUUAAAUACAUAGUUAUUUUCAUUUAGUCUUUCUUCCUCUACUUUUAUGUUUAGAAAGGCACAUCCCAGGGUCAGAGAAAUGUUAACCUAUAUUUUCCACUAGUGCUUUUGUGGCUCUUUUUAAAGGAUUUAAAUCUGUCACAUAUUUGGUCUGUGUGGUAAGAAUCUAUUUCCUCACUGAUCUAAAUGUUGUAUGCUAUUGGGCUUAUUUCUGUAUUUUAAAGUUUUAUUCAUUAUCUUUCUGUCUUCAUCACUUUUUUUGCCAAAACCCUCCAUUUUUAUUAUCACAAUUUAAGAAUAUGCUUUCAU